rnacentral:lncRNA from 1 species
CUAACUCAAAGACCUACUUGAGCGACAAAGUGAGAAGAAGUGGAAGAAGGCGUCGGCGACGAAGACGACGAAGAAGUUCUGAACUGCUUGAUGUGUGGGAUCGUUUAUAUAGAAACCCAUAGAAAAUAAUUGUAGCCGUUGGAAGGUGAGGCAACGACCUCUUUGUAGGAGAAAAGUAGCCGUUGGAACGGUGAGGCACUGACGCGCUUUCGUUUUACGGUUGAGGCCCCGACGCAUCUUCGUUCGAUGGUGCGGCAGUUACGCGGCGGAUGAUUAAAUGCAGGGACAUCUGGCGCCAGCUGGAGAAAGGUAACCCUGCCAAUUCAUCAUUUUCGCGACAGCUGGAAAUAAAGCCCAAUACAUCGGCGUUUCUGUCAUCGCUUUCUGCUUGUUGACUCUCACUCACUUCUCC